rnacentral:tRNA from 1 species
GCCUUCGUGGUGUAGUAGCCAGCAAGCUGGGCGCGUAUUCCAGAUGUCCGUGGUUCGAAUCCCUGCGAAGGCG